rnacentral:SRP_RNA from 1 species
UGCUAGGCUUGACCGGGGCGUUCGGCGUGCCCUUCUACAUCGAAAUCGUCGAUAGCGAGGGUGACAGCAGUGGACGUCGUAACCGGAGCGUUGAAGACCCGAUCAACAACUAUGAAGCCCUGUCCUUCGGGGCCAGUGGCGGCAUCGCGAUGCAGCCGGAGGGCGGCAUUCCUUGCUCUAAUCAUGGGGAACGGGCCAGGCCCUGACGGGAGCAGUCCAACCGUGGACUACUGACGCUCGAAGGGGUGCGGGGUUGAGAAGUCGAUCGAACAAUCUUCCUCGGACCGGCCGGCAACCGCUGUGGCCUAGCA